AUGAGGGGAGGGAAGGGAGGUCACUCUCAGCUUGGGAUGGGGCAGGGGCUUCUUGGAGGGCUUCUUGGAGGGCUUCCUGGAGGAGGAAGUAUUGCAGCUGGGCCUGGAUGGAGAGGCACCAGGGAAGGGAAGUCUGGGCAGAGUUUCGCUAGGGGAUGAAUACAGGAGAGCAGAGCCAGAUGAGAUCCUCCGAUGCCACCUCCUGCCUGAUGCCACCUCCUGCCUGCGUUGGUGCAGCGCUCAGCAUAUGGAUCUUGGACAGUGCGCCCUGGCCACCUGAACCUGCCCUGCAUACCUCCACAGAGCCUGGUAAGACGGGGGCAGGGGUUGGGGGAGGAGGCUCAGGGCAGCGCCCCAGGAGUGGGCAGGGCUCUGAGCUCCAGGGAGUGUCCCUGGGACUCCUUCACUUGCGCAUCCAUCCCCGAGUUCCCUCCACAUUCCCUUAA
rnacentral:lncRNA from 9 species